rnacentral:snRNA from 1 species
GUUCCCUCCGAAGUUUCCC